rnacentral:rRNA from 1 species
GACGAACGCUGGCGGCGUGCUUAACACAUGCAAGUCGAACGGAAAGACCCUGCUUUUGUGGGGUGCUCGUGUGGCGAACGGGUGAGUAGCACGUGAGUAACCUGCCCUUGACUUUGGGAUAACUUCAGGAAACUGGGGCUAAUACCGGAUAGGAGCUCCUGCUGCAUGGUGGGGGUUGGAAAGUUUCGGCGGUUGGGGAUGGACUCGCGGCUUAUCAGCUUGUUGGUGGGGUAGUGGCUUACCAAGGCUUUGACGGGUAGCCGGCCUGAGAGGGUGACCGGCCACAUUGGGACUGAGAUACGGCCCAGACUCCUACGGGAGGCAGCAGUGGGGAAUAUUGCACUAUGGGCGGAAGCCUGAUGCAGCAACGCCGCGUGCGGGAUGACGGCCUUCGGGUUGUAAACCGCUUUCGCCUGUGACGAAGCGUGAGUGACGGUAAUGGGUAAAGAAGCACCGGCUAACUACGUG